AUUGAACGCUGGCGGAAUGCUUUACACAUGCAAGUCGAACGGCAGCACGGGGGCAACCCUGGUGGCGAGUGGCGAACGGGUGAGUAAUACAUCGGAACGUGCCCAGUCGUGGGGGAUAACUACGCGAAAGCGUAGCUAAUACCGCAUACGAUCUACGGAUGAAAGCGGGGGAUCGCAAGACCUCGCGCGAUUGGAGCGGCCGAUGGCAGAUUAGGUAGUUGGUGGGGAAAGCCUCACCAAGCCGUCGAUCUGUAGCUGGUCUGAGAGGACGACCAGCCACACUGGGACUGAGACACGGCCCAGACUCCUACGGGAGCAGCAGUAAGGAAUAUUGACAAUGGUGGAAACACUGAUCCAGCC
rnacentral:rRNA from 1 species